CAUGGUCUGACUGCCCCUACCAGGCCCCAGCCCAACAACAGUCGCACUCCACUCCAAGCCUCCAGGUCCGCUCUCCCAGACACUCAGCUGUACCAAGGGCUCGUUCCCCUCGUGCUGCUCUGGGACAUGCUUCCCCUCGCUCGGCUCUGGGGACUAAUACCCCGAACGCUGCUCCAGGACUGCUAAAAUGAGAGAGAAAAUAAAAAGAAACAAAAGAACCAGCAGAGCAAAGGAGCUCCGGGUGGAGCAUGCUUCUCUGCCGUCAUCUUGCCGACACGAAUAUACACACCUCUGCCAUUCUAUGGGAAAAGGUUGUUAGAAUCUCAAUGAGUUAAACAGAAAUGAAGGCGGGCUGCUCACAUCCUGGGUCUGAGUGUUCAGAUGCUCUUCGCCAAUAACCUCUUGGUUAGGAACCAGAGAAGGUACCCUGUCACCAACUUGGCCAAGCUUGACUACUGGGGCAUGGGACAACAUACUGGCUCCUGACUCGCGGAUGGGGAAAGGGCUGUGGAUGAGCAUUUUGUGUGGCAUUCCCACUUGAACAUUCCUUCCUGCCACCUUCCCUCUGAUGGAUUCGCUGCGUUUCACUGUGUGCAGUCCGCUGAUGCAAAUCAGUGAGGGAAGGUCAAGAUUGAAGUGUGGGUUAUCCUGUUUAAGAUGACAGAUACUUUGAAUCCAGAAUCUCAAUGGUUGUUAUCAAGAUCUGUAUGGAUUUAAAUGAUUACUUUAAUUGAUGUUCUCCCAUUUGGCCAUGCUAGGAGGAAGACUUCCUUUGUGAUACUCAACGUCACCAACCCACUCACGCUGAAGCUGGACUCCACGCUCUGUGUGUUGCACAGAGAGUGUGUGCAAAGCCUGCCAAUGCAUCACACAGUCUCAGUUAUUCCUCAAUGAUUUCCCUUUACAUCAAUGGCCCCCUGGGCACGGCAGCUGUGCCUAGCUGAGCGGAACUUGGAGAGGCCUGUACCCUCUCACGCCAACUCUCCACUGCUGUCCCUGCCACCACUACCAUCUGGUCUCCUUCAGUUGUGAAAUGUGAGUCAGCAGCUGAAAACGCAACUCCGUGACUAACUGGACCCAGUGAAGUGUGAAGAUUGAAGCUGAUGCAUGAUGAGCAAGAAUUGUGUAAUGGUGCUCCCUCAGAAGAAGAAAUCAUUGGCUAUGAGUUUCAUGGACGCCCGCUGUAAAUGUGAAAGUGAUCACAAAGAGAAAAUAUAUGAAUUAGUAUCGGUAAGGAAAAUAUUCUGCAACAAAUCCUCAUUGACGAUGAUCAUAUUUCAUUCUCUCUCAAAAUCAAGCCAACAUAACUAUGUAUAAUGUCACAUGCAGUUGAUAUUCUAGUCUGUUAUCAGGCAGCUUGGAGUUGCCAAUGCCUUCCUCUCCAAAGAUAAGGGAUGUAGGUUAAAUGAAUAAAACCAUGAAUGGUGUCAGAGACUCAGGAGAGUUGUACU